GACGAACGCUGGCGGCGUGCUUAACACAUGCAAGUCGAACGGAAAGGCCCUGCUUUUGUGGGGUGCUCGAGUGGCGAACGGGUGAGUAACACGUGAGUAACCUGCCCUUGACUUUGGGAUAACUUCAGGAAACUGGGGCUAAUACCGGAUAGGAGCUCCUGCUGCAUGGUGGGGGUUGGAAAGUUUCGGCGGUUGGGGAUGGACUCGCGGCUUAUCAGCUUGUUGGUGGGGUAGUGGCUUACCAAGGCUUUGACGGGUAGCCGGCCUGAGAGGGUGACCGGCCACAGUGGGACUGAGAUACGGCCCAGACUCCUACGGGAGGCAGCAGUGGGGAAUAUUGCACAAUGGGCGGAAGCCUGAUGCAGCAACGCCGCGUGCGGGAUGUCGGCCUUCGGGUUGUAAACCGCUUUCGCCUGGGACGAAGCGUGAGUGACGGUAAUGGGUAAAGAAGCACCGGCUAACUACGUG
rnacentral:rRNA from 1 species